UCACUCUAGCAGUACACAUACUAAAGUUAAUAUGAUACAGAGAAGAUUAACAAGGUCUGUACUCAAAGAUGACAUGAAAAUUCAUGAAAUGUUUCAUAUUUUG
ensembl:snRNA U6 U6 spliceosomal RNA